CCUACGGGGGGCAGCAGUAGGGAAUAUUGGACAAUGGGGGGAACCCUGAUCCAGCCAUGCCGCGUGUGUGAAGAAGGCCCUCGGGUUGUAAAGCACUUUCAGUGAGGAAGAACGCCUGGUGGUUAAUACCCAUCAGGAAAGACAUCACUCACAGAAGAAGCACCGGCUAACUCCGUGCCAGCAGCCGCGGUAAUACGGAGGGUGCGAGCGUUAAUCGGAAUUACUGGGCGUAAAGCGCGCGUAGGUGGCUUGAUAAGCCGGUUGUGAAAGCCCCGGGCUCAAACUGGGAACGGCAUCCGGAACUGUCAAGCUAGAGUGCAGGAGAGGAAGGUAGAAUUCCCGGUGUAGCGGUGAAAUGCGUAGAGAUCGGGAGGAAUACCAGUGGCGAAGGCGGCCUUCUGGACUGACACUGACACUGAGGUGCGAAAGCGUGGGUAGCAAACAGGAUUAGAUACCCGAGUAGUC
rnacentral:rRNA from 1 species